rnacentral:rRNA from 1 species
AACGAACGCUGGCGGCAUGCCUAACACAUGCAAGUCGAACGAGACCUUCGGGUCUAGUGGCGCACGGGUGCGUAACGCGUCGGAACCUGCCCUUAGGUUCGGAAUAACUCCCCGACAGGGGUGCUAAUACCGGAUAAUGUCUUCGGACCAAAGAUUUAUCGCCUUUGGAUGGGCCCGCGUUGGAUUAGCUAGUUGGUAGGGUAAAAGCCUACCAAGGCGACGAUCCAUAGCUGGUCUGAGAGGAUGAUCAGCCACACUGGGACUGAGACACGGCCCAGACUCCUACGCAAGGCAGCAGUGGGGAAUAUUGGACAAUGGGCGAAGGCCUGAUCCAGCAAUGCCGCGUGAGUGAUGAAGGCCUUAGGGUUGUAAAGCUCUUUUACCCGGGACGAUAAUGACAGUACCGGGAGAAUAAGCACCGGCUAACUCCGUG